rnacentral:lncRNA from 1 species
GCCUAUAGUAUAAUGGUUUACUAAUUGGGCUUAGUGGGGUAGAACUCGCUGAGACGUAGUCUCAUCCCAGUUUGGGGAAAACAUUUUAGGACCCCGAUGAGGAGCUGAUGAGGAGGAGUCUGAGAAGGAGAACUCGGAGGUGAAACUUAAGGAGAAAGAUUUUUGGGAGAAGAAGAUAAUCCCGAGAAGGGCCUUGAGUACGGCUUGGAUGGCUGAGAGUUUAUCUUAUUUUGAGAUCUCCUUUUUGAUGUGA